UCGUUACUUGCUGUGCUUAGAGUAGGAAAUAACUAUGACAACUCCAAUACCAUGGCUUGAUUAAUAUUGGAUUCUUAAUAACAGUCUCUACACAUAGAUUUUUGGUAGCAAGAUGAGUCAUUUGUGCAGACAGUUGAUUCUGGGUAAGCCAAUGAUUCCAUGGCAACUCUGAGAACAGCAUCUGCAGAGAAAGGAGCUGGUGUUGUCUCCUUACGUGCAGGUGGGGGCCUUGAUGCUUUGAAGAUCUUUAGUCGGGCUCUCUGUACUGUUUGUCCAGAGCACCACACUGUGCUCCAGGCCAAGUCUGGCAUAGCCAGGGCCUUAAACACAACUUCAAAAUAACACGAGCAAAACACUUCUGAAAGCUAAACUAUGUGGUAAAUAUACAGGUGUGAAUUGUCUGCAGAAGCUGGAAUCAGGAGGCUGCUUUGCUCUGGCCCACCUUCCACUUUGGGAAGCGGUAUCACAGAGGGCAGUGAAACUGGGGGGAAGAUCCUUUCGAAAGCUCAAAGGGAACUUUGCUCAAAUGAGGACUGCAGACUUUGGCCCCUAUUCCAUAAAAACAUCUUUCCGUCUCCAUUCUGCAGGAGACCAGAGGGAAGCACAACAGAGUAUGCUUUACUGCAGAAAGCAGCCUCUCAAAGCCAACCUUGAUCACAGGGAGCUGAGCUCUUCACAGGCACAGCCUUUGGCACAUGCUGAUCUGUGAGCAUACACGUGGUCCUGUUGACGGCAGAGUGACUUAACACCUCACACAACUGAACCUUUAACUCAGGAAUGUGAGUUCUCAAUUGAGCUUGUGCUUUAGAAGAGCCCUGACAAGUAAAUCUGUGUGGUGCUGUCCUAAUUUGAAGAGUAAUGAGUUUUGAGUGACCACGAUCUUACCCUGUGUAUGACAAGGAAGGAAGCAACAUUCUCACUUUCUCAUAGGACCCUCCUACUACACCAGGAAACUGCAAAAAGCAAACACCAACUUGUCUCGUUAUGAGCAUUAAAGAUCCCUGUGGAUUAUGCUAAAAAGCAUAAUGCAGCUCCCUUUCAAGGUGUGCUUAACAUCAGCUUCUCACUCAGGACAGGCACAUGUCUGUACUUGUCAGAAGACCAGGCACAGAAGCUGUUAAUAAGGUACCUCUCAUCCUUAAAUACAUACAGAAGAGGAAUGUGACACCUUGACUGGGCACUGCACUCCCACAGCUUCCUUGUGUCCAUCUUCACAGGCAAAUUAAGAUCCAUGAGAAGAGGAAGUGAAAAAUAACUUCAAAGAAACAAAAAAUAACACAUAAAAGCCAGUGGGCAUCCUGUAUUCCAUUGUAAAAUGGCAACACAUUUCAGGAAUACAAAGGUGACCACAGAAACAAGCUGUGAUCCAGUGCCAGCAUUUUACCACUGCACACCAAGGUGGCAAUCGAGGAAUAAAAACCACCUGGGACUGGGAUGCAGAGAAGUGUCAAACAUCUGUCUUCUAAUGAUAGCUCUCCAACCCUAUGGAUAGUCUCCCCUAAUAGACAACUUUGGUAAAAACCAUAUUUACCUGUAAGUCUCCACAUCUUUCUAGUGAGACAUACAGUGUCCAAAUGGUUCAUACAUCCUACCAGUAUUUUAAAAGUUGAUAAUUGAUAUUCACCCCUCCAUUGAAGGGGCUAAAACUUCUCUCUUCCCCUCUCUUUCUUUCUUUUGGCUCGAAACAGGCAAAUCACUGUGAUUUUCAACAGGAGGGUGAACUGGUGUAGACUCAAAACUGUCCUGCAGAAAUGUCCUAAGUCUAUACCCUGAUAGUCCUUGCACACAAUAUGCCAUCCUUGUUUUGUGUUAUAUUGUAUUGUGCUGUAGUAUCUUCUACUCUAUAUCUCAUUGCAUUAUUUUAUCUCCCUCAUUGUAUCACUGUGUGUGUGUGAACCCUUCAUAGUGCUGUACAGAAGAAUAGGACUAAUAUCUAACACAUGCUGUCGUGAUUUGGGGAAUCAAUCUCUGUACCACUAAAAUUAAUUCUGUUUUAUAGCAUGGACUGCACUGCAUCUGUUUCAGAAAGCAAGCCCCAUAUGGACUGGAGUUUCCUGGCCAUCUCUGCAGCCUCUUGUCCUCUCAUUGAUACACUAACCAUAGGAGAUGCAGGUUGCAUCCUUUUACCUGGCUACAGAGCUAACAGAGAAGCAUCACUAAAAUGGGAAAAAUCAGCCAUGCAAAUCAGCCAGAGAAAUGGCUGCCAACCAAAGCAGAGGAACUUUUCCAAGUCUGAACCCUAUCAGGCAGCAAGUUAGUAACUGUUUUGUGGAUUCAUUUGAUGAGCUGAUAAAUCUGAUAAGAGGGCACCUGAGGUGUUACACAAAUCAGGAGAGACUGAGAAUCCAUGAUCCUGAGAAGUCAGAGGCAAGAAUUUGUGUCUAGAAGAAGAAUUGUGACCUACUUAGAGGAAUCUGACUUAAGCCCCAAAUAAUGCUCUUGCUCAAGCAUGAAUUACAAGCAGCUGAAGAAAGAUGAGCUUUUGCACUUGUUGUCUAGCCAAGUUUGCCCACAUUUAAUGAGAAGUACGACUUGGUGCCAUUUUGUAUUCCCGUGCUGUGGUGCAGAUGGAGAGGCCUCUCUGAGUGUGAGUCCAGAAGCCACUCACCCACUCCUCCAGGCACUCCACACAUCCUGCCCCAUGCCUGUCCUUGCAGAGCCUGGAGCCAGAAAGCAUCAGGUUCAGGAGCAGAAGGAGCAGCAGUAGAUGUGAAAAACAAAUGGGAACCAGAGCUGGCAGCAGUGCCAGAACAUUGGGCAUGGAUCAGGCUGGAGAAAAAGAAUUAACAGUCCCAUGCCCAGAAGACUGGAGAGUAAGAGAGCAGCAGUCACCCAUGGAGGGAGGGGAAAUGCUAAACUGUCACACCUAAGCUCAGGUACAAUAGUCUCAGUACAGUAAAAUUCCCUGGGGCAAAGUUGAUGGUGAAAAUAUAGGUCCUGGUUCACCCCCAUGCUGGGCGAUGCCUCGCUGUGUGUCAAGUCUGGGCAGAUGCUUUGUGUGUUGUGUUGUUUGGGCCAAAGUCCCACAGGAAAAAAAAGCGAGUCCAAAUUGAAAGAUGCUAUGAGUCAGUCUUCUGAUGAAAGAGAGGAACGUGAUGUUGGGGCUGGCAAACAUGAUAGUGCUGUGGGAUUAAAAGAAAAAAAAAAGAAAGAUAAAGAAAAGCCCACAGAGAAAGGGUAUGCAAAUUAUGGGAAAAAGAGCAAAAGAGGAACUUUUCUCCAGGGAUGCUACAUCUCUGCCUUCCAUUCUCCCAGAGGAUCGUGGCUAUGGCAGUGGGUGAGCUCUUCCAGUUGAGAUACAGAAGUAAGAAUGUAAAAACUAAUAACUGAAGCACUCCAUCAGCCUCUACCAAAGAAGUGUUUUAGUUUGGUUUUGAGGCAACCUGGGUUCCUGACCUAAGCUUUUCCCCCAGAGAUGGGAGAGCCCUGGCUAUUGCCCUGCCAGUCUGGGCAGGCUGUGAGAGUAGCAGCAUGGCCCAAAAUCCACACAGGAAACUCUUGGACCCACACUGGCAUCACAGGCACUGCCUAGCACCACAGUUUGAAGUGAGGCUAAUCUGAGCUAAAGCUCAAGUUUUCACCACCUCCUAUUAUCUGGAAAGCAAAACUGAAUCCUGGCAUUAGCACUGCUUGGCAAUGGCAAGGGGAAAGCAGGAAUUGCAUGGAGGGCACAGAACAGGGGAAAUUACUGACAGUGCAGGAUGGCUGAACACGGCAUGGUUUUGGUUAAGAAAAGAAGUGUUUUCUACAGCAAAGGCCCCACAUUCAAAGACACCACUUUAACUUAGCCCCAGCAGCACUGGAAAUGCAAGCAGAGCAGAAGGAAAGUAGAAGAGGCGGCUGUUGUCAGAAAACAGUUCCUGGAAAAUAUUAAAGUUCUCUUGAGGCAUGUAGAAAAAUUCCAGGAUACCAUAUUAUUAUUGUUAUUAUUAUUACCCUUGAUCUUUUGGAAGGUGGGAAGGGAGCAUAUGCAGUCUUAAAGGAAGAAGACAAGACAUCUGUAGCCUUUAAAAAGAAAAGCACUAAAAAGAAGGCUUCUAGGCUCUCCUUACAACAUUUUUAAUUAUCUUCCUUAAGUUUCCCAAAUAAAAACACAUUGCAUGGAGCCUCACCCAAUAAAACUAUGUGGGUAAAUACAAUACCCAUUGUCUAAUCAAUAUCAUAUUGCUCAUGGCUUUAGCUUGUUCAAUAGCUGAGUUCACUGACUCCUGAGUUGCACCUAAGGAUGCCAAUAUCUGCUUAAUGUUGGACAAACUGCAUUUGUCAUUCCCUGUAACUGAGUUCUUUAAUCUCAUUAAUAACCCACAGAUACCAAAACACAGCUUUGGCUUUUGGCUGGAAUAUGCCAGGUUUCCAGUGUGCACUUUUAGCUCAGGGGCUAAUGUGUUGUGCAUUAAAUAGGCUCGUUGCCCCUGCAGAGGCCACAGCCCUCCUGCCCCAUUGCUCCUCAACUUGGACACCCAUAAAUGCCAGAAAUUGCAAAAAAAAAAUAAAACCCAAGAGAAGCCAUCAGAUACAGAGAGUUAGAGGUCAUGGAAGAUAAGAAACACACAGAAUUAUGUCUGUAUUAAGUGUGUCAUAGCCCCCACGCCGUGUCGCCUGCUGUGGCCUCAGCCCCAAGUGCUGGGGAGGCAGGAACAGCUCCUGCUCCCCAGGCCUCGUCCUUCUGAGCUUGCCUGCAUAUGGCAGCAAACCCUGUGCUCCAGCCCCAGAAGUAUGCAUCAAUAAAUUAUCUUCAUUGGAAACACAUUGCAAACAAAAUGCAAAUGGCAAGAAAGUGCUUGUUCUCAGAGGUCUGUCUUGAGAGUUCAUCUACCCAGAUUAUAAACACUUGAUAAGCAUCCUGGUUUUCAGGCUAACUGUCUGUACGGCAGAUCCCAGGACUAGGCUCCUGGGAUUUCAAAAUGUAUCAUGAAAUAAAAACAGCUGCAAGGGAAACUCAUAUGACUAGGAUAGGUGCCAUAUAGCAAUUAACAGCCAGAAGUUUUGAUCUGGAAAAUCACAUUUAUUUUAAUUGCUUCACUGUUGUAUUCAUAAAGAAUUUGGCUCAUUUGAUUAUUUUCCUUAUUAGAUAUACUACUUAACUUUGGAACAAUGUAGUCAUUAGUUCCAUUGUUCCAGGUUUUUCAUUGCAGUGAAUUGAAUGACAGAGACAUGUUCUGCAAGGAAGAUUGUUUAUAAAUAUUUAUCAUAGCCUUAACAGAUAUUUGUGUAAUCCAUCCUAAUUUUUUUAGCACAUAAUUCACUAGUUAUUUAAUCUGCUGUGUGAUGAGUGCAGGUUCCUUAACCUUGAGUUCAAUAAGGCAUUUGAAGUGUGUGAUCUCUUAUCACAAGAACAGAGCAGGGGAGUAGUGCUUCUUUUUUAUAUAUUCCUUUGAAAGCCCGUAUUCUCUCCAUUUUCCUUUAGCAGGCUGUUUGAAGAAGAUGCACAUGCUUGAUUGCUUUCACCUCUGCCAUUCCUUUCUUUUUUGACUCAGCACAGUGGUAUGGAUAAUCCCUACCUUGGGGAGCCGCUGCCCGUGCGGGCAGGACGGGACUGGGAGCGAGGAUGGCACAGGGACACCGUGCCCGGGCACUGGCAGGGUGCAGCCGGGGCGCUGUGAGCGCACCUGAGAGAGGGGUCGGGGCUAUAAAAUAUGCAUAGGCCCUUCUGCAGCAAACGAAUCUACUUAAUUGAAAGGAAUCGGGAGGUGAAAAAUGAAACUUGGCAGUUCAGCUUCGCUCCACCAUUUGGUGGUUGUUGUGGGACUCCAGCAAAAGGGAGCUAUCACUGCGGGCAUAAUUUACUUGAUUUUAAGGAUCUGUAUGAAUUCUGGCGACAUACCAAGUAGCCAUUAGCUACGAGGAGCGUUUCCCGAUGCUCAUUUGUUUUCCAUGUGUGAAUUUUCACUCUUCCAAACUUUCUUUAGAAAAAAAAGUACUUUUUCUUCAUCAAUUCCACGUGGAAAAUACAACAAAAAUACAGACAAUAAAUUAUUCAAGAAACACAACCGAUUUUUUUUUUUAAUGGAAAAAUACUGGUUCUGGAAUCAAACUGGCCGCUUGCUUUGAUUUCGAUAUUUUAAGUUAAGUGUUAUAAAAUUAUAUGCUUGUUCACAUGCUCAAGCACAGUCUUUCUGCUCAAAUUAUCCUAAAUAGGGUAACUCAAUAGCAAAGUAGGCAGGCUUUUAAUGCUAUUACUAUUAGGAAAAUACCAUUAAUACGAGACACAUGCAGGAUGGCAUUACAUCAGUAGGCUGCAUUUAUUUAGUAAGUAUGCAGGAACAGCCCUGUGGAUCAGAGCAGAGAUGCUGGGCCUUUAACACAUGUAGCUUGGCUUAGUCUCCAGGUCAAAAUCUGUUAAUGUAAUUUUCUGUAUAAGAGCAAGAAUUUAAAAUCCAUGAGGUUUUAAUGACACAUUCCAAGACUGGGGGGAUGUGGGGGACGCUGAUUUUGUUGGAUUUUUUUUUAUUUGUCCUACUCGCAUUAAAUGUGAACUUCUUUGAAAUGUGUGUGUUAGACACUGAAGCUAAUCUGUGAAAUAAGAUAAACUUAAAAAAAAAUCGCUUUCAAUUUAUUUGCUUGAAAAGUUUGUUUUUGGUCAAGUUAUGUUUCAAAUUAAAAAGAUCAUUAUUGGUAAUUUGCAUUUACUUAUUGAAGCAUUACAUGAUAAACCAAAACCAUGUGUCAAAAUGUAACUCUCAUAAAAUAAGUGCACUGAGAUAAAGGGACUUCAGAGAUUUAAAAAAUCAAUGUGACACUUAAAAAGACAUCUAAAAAGGGUGCCUGCCUUCAAAACAGGAGUGUUUCUAUUUCAAAUAAUUAAUAUGUUUUGGUUUCUUCAUUUUUGCGGUCUCAUAGCACAACUUAUAUAUAAAGCACUAUGUUGAACACUCAUAUUUUGGACCGAGCUCUUGUUUGUGUCUAUUUAACAGCUACUCACAGCUGCCUCUGCUUUGAAAGUAUUGGGAAAAUUUCUUCACAAGCUCCAGUCAAUACAAACCACUGAUGUUUUUUUAAGCGGCCCUGGCCAGGUGUGGGUGGUGCAGGCAGGAUGCAGGCAGGGUGCAGGCAGCUGCCUGCCCACAGCACCCACUGUUCCCUCUCUCACCUGGGUGCCCUUGCAGGCUGUACCACCAGUACACCUUGGGGAGGCCUUUCCUGCUGAAUGGAUAGCCUGCAACUUAUCUGGUUAAUAUAUAGAUUUAUAUUUCAAGAUUUGCUGCAAAUUGAACUGUGCAAAACACACCUGCCUCCCUGUAAUGUUAGCAAGCAAUGUAAAAAUUGUAAUUUACUUUUUUCUUGGUGUACUAAGGAGAAGGAGAAUGUGAGUGAUUGCUAACUGGCUCGGGAAACCUUCUAUUGGUGUGAAAAAGAAACACAGGACAGGGGAAGGUUUCUUGGUUUCACUUACUCAAAAAGUUAAAGUGUAUUAAAGGAAGACUUCUGCUUUCAUGAGCUCAUAGUGUUAGACCCCCUUUUCCAUUCAAAAUUCAAACCAUAGAAGCUUCUGACAGCACCCCAGCAUCAUCCCCUCCUGAAGAUGAAGCACAAGCGAGCACACACAGACAGGUCUGCAGACCUCAGGGCAGGAUGUGGCUGUGGCUGGGGACUCUGGUGCAGUGACACAGAAGUGCAGCAAUCAGGUGCUCUGCUCAGAAAUGCAAAGUUUAUUGCUGUAACAAGCAAUACAAAGAAGCCUAUUUUGAAAGCAAGAGGCAGCAUACAUUGCCAAGAGAGUGUAAGUGCCCCUUGUUGCAGAACGCCAAGCCCUUGCCACCACUCACCUCCACACUGGAGAGCACACCAGCACCUGAGCAGUCCACCAAUAUCUGUAGGAUAAUGUAUUUUUAACAUGAAAUACCUGCUGAAGAGCUCUGCUGACCAUGUCUCUUUUCUUCCUAACUCCAUUUUAAAUUUAACCUUAAGGGCUUUCCUUUGACCUCACUAAUUUAUAUGAACCCUGGCCAGAUGUUAUAACCAAGCAGCCCCAUCAGAUCUCCUAUGCAGAACUCACUGGGGGCUGCAGGGUGUGCAUGCACAGGGCAGGAGCUGAGCAUCUUAAAUUACAUCAUGGAUGGUGAGAAGCGUAAGGUGAUCAGAUAAAUUACCAGAUGCUGAUAAAUCGAGUGCUGGGUCUCGCCAUAACUCUCAGCUCUCCCAUGGGUACAUUUCUCAUUUUACUCUUUAUGUUCACCCAUCCUCCUUCUGCUUCUGUUUCCUGCUGGUACCAGAAGAGCUGAGCGAUGGAGCUGAGGUUAGGAAAGUCACCUAUGGUGUGUGACCUUCAAGGUUUGCCUUGAUCUUCAGCCUUUCCCUCGUCUGUGAUGCUUCUGAUGCUUGUGUAGCCAAUUCUUUGUGUCACGUGAAGGCCUGAAGUGAUGGUAUGGCUCUGCUGGCGGCUCUCCAGCAGCACCAAGGUCCCUCUACCAUGUCACCCGCAUGCCUGACCAGUGGGAGAGACCUCUUCCCUUUCUGACUCUUCAUAAAUUAAAAUGGCCAUGGAUUUUUUUCAUGAUCUUCAAGUGUAUUGUUCUCAUUUCUAUUUGUAACUUGAACAAAAAAGAUCUAUUUAAUGGUUUGCUUUUUUUGUGUUUAGUCUCCCUCUGCCCACAGAACAUCAGCAUUUAGGUCACGUCCCUCAAAACCUUUCACUGUUUGUGUGUGUUUGUCAAGCACUGGGUUUACAUGAUUUUUCACGCAUUAGAUUAAUUAGUGGUAUCUGAAAUGUGAUACAUCCCAUGAAGCACAGGGAUUUGUCUGGCAUCCCCAGUGGGAGGCUUGGGAGCCCCUUCCCAACAGGUCAGGCUCAGUGAACUCAGUGGUCCCUGCUACCCGAUGAGGCCCCGCUCAGCUGCCUGCAGCGCCGCUGGUGAUACUCCCCUUUGAGAAAUCUUACUCUCUCAUCCUCACAAUGGUUUCGUCCUCUGAGUGUGGGUUCCUCCAGUGUGACCACGGCUCCAUCCCUAGCACCCACUGGUCUCUGCUCACAGCUCCCCUCCUACCACUGCACAGCCCAAGGGGCACCCAGUGAGGCAGACAGAUUUUAUAACUUAGCCUUGGUAGAGAUGCUUCACAGCUACCUGUGACAUAUGUGUAUACAUAUGUGCACUUUUAUACAUAUGUGUGUGUGUGUGAAUGUAUAAAUAAAUAUAUACAUGUAUGUAAAUAUACACAUAUACUUCUACAUAUAUAUAUACACACACACACACACAGAUGACAUCCAUAUGGCAUGUGUACAUAUGGGGUGCAUGUGUCUAUGUGCAUAAAUAUACGUAUAGAGACAGGAUUUACUAUGCACACAUAUAUGUAUGUGUACACACAUAUGCAUACUUACAUACAUCAUAUACCCACUUGGGCUGUUGCUUUGGUCCUGCCACUGUUGUGCCACAUUCUGCUUGGCACUAUGAUGAUGGAGUCUGCCAUGGGAUUGUGUGUUUUGGGAGGAGAGGUUGCUCUUUUUUGUGAAAAAUAACCUUUUCUUGGACACAGCUCCUUGAGCCUUACACAUACAAAUGGACUGUUCCUUGUGAUUAGCUUUGCUAAGCAAUUUUUUUGAUGGUUUGGACAUAAGCAGCUCUCAUUUCAUUGACUGUAGCUGCAAAAUAUUUGUAAAAAAUUUUAAUUAUAAACUUAGCAAUUAGGAUAUUAACUUAAAUCAUUAUAUUUUAACUUAUGACCCUAAUGUGUGUUAAUGACAACAGCAACAAAGAGAGACAUGCAUAAGAAAUUAUAGUGAAUUGCUCCAUAGUACAGAUGACUUAUGCUCUUCCAAGAGGCACGCUGGUGCUGGGAGAGGCAGACUUAUUCCCAGCAGGCAGAACUUUUAUACAAAGAAAAUGAAAGAAAAUGAAAGGUUUGGUUUGUUUUUUUUUUUGACAACUGCUCCUUUUCACUUUCUCAGCGAACUCCAUGUCUCUGUUUUAUGGUGCAGCAGGCCUGGCUUUGCAAAGUUUCAUUCUUCUGGUUUGCAAUAACAGAACCAUACUAUCUGUGUGAAUAAGGCAUUUUCUCCAAAGAACAUGCCUAAUGGUUAGAGUCAGUGUACCAGAUGGGUUGUAAAACACUUUGAAACAACUCCUCUCAAAGGAUAUUGUACUCCUGAAGCUGUAUGUUUGUUUUAUUAUAAACAGAGCUUUCCAAGUAAAAAACAUAGAAAUGCUGCCUACUUCUGAAGCAAACUGACAUGUGGAGCCGUGCUAGAUCUCUGCUGAAACAGAACUUAAUUUAUUGCCCCCCCUAAAUAUCAAAGGGGUCUGAGGAGGAGCCAUAUCACAUUUGGUCUUUUUAACUGAAAGACAUUGUGGGUGACUGAAAAACUCAUGUACUUUUCAUUUACCAUCUGAUCAAUAGGCAUGGAUGGUGUCCCUCCAGCCCGCUGAUUUUAGUCCUUCCCUGGUCUAGCAUUCCCUCCAGCCCCAGCAGCAGCCCUGUGGGGCGAGUAGCACAUUUGAUGCUGAUUUUUCUCUUCUAAUCUCCUCAGAGAGGGCCCUGCAGACCUCAGUGCUCAGCUGGAGGCCAAGUGUCUGUCUGGAGACAUGCUCCUGGGGGAACUUCCAGCGGGGUGACAGGGUGAACGGAUGACAGUGGCUCCCACAUGCUUGCCCGUGCCAGGGUGUGCUGCCAAUGCCAUCAACACCGUCAUGUCAAGCCUUAACAGCCAGGGAGUCAUAGAACGGCUUGGGUUGGAAGGGACCUUAAAGAUCACUUAGUUUUAACCACCCUGCCUUGGGCAGGGAUAUUUUCCACUAGACCAGAUUACUCAGAGCUCCAUCUGAUCUGAUCUUGAACACUUCCAGGGAUGGGGCAGCCACAACUUCUCUGGACAACCUGUACUAGUGCCAUACCCAUUCAUGAUAUCUUCUUUUUAUUUUUUAAUAAAAUGUCUUUUGUACAACUUUUGUGCAUUGAAAGACCAAGCAGUCUGCUUGGCUAUGUCACACCAGUCAGUCUAAUAAUUAUCCCAGGAAGUAGGAAGAAAAGUCAACGUCCUUCUGCACCAUGGAAGUACCAUCAGCUCUGUAGUAAGAAUGGAGCUCCUGGUGGUGUUGGCCUUGUCCUCUUCCAAGGUGUGACUUUCCUGCCUGAAGUCAGUAAUAAAAGUUCUUCCCAACAAUUUACACUUUGUCUGAUUUCCAGAAUGUGCCAUCUGAAAGACGGCUGCUCAGGACAAUCCAUAGGUGAGACGGGAAGAGAAGACCUGACUGCAAACAGCCACUGUCUGCAGUCACCGUUUUAUUCCUUUAAGACAUGAGAAACUGGAAUUGUCGCUGUAAAACAUAAUUAGCAUCCACAUUAUGAUUCGUCAGACACCACCCAUAAGAGAAAAGCUAAGCGGAUUUUUUAAUCUGAAUUUGUACAGGCUUUUCUGUCAUUCUUUAAGUAGAUUCAUUAUUAUUUUUUGCCUAUAAUUUGUAUAAAGUACUUAGCAUUCAAAACAGAUCCUUUUUAACCUUUUGACCAACUUAGCUUUUUGUACUUUUUUUUUUUAAAAAGGGGGGAGAUGGAAAGGGAGAGAAACCCUUUAAGUACCCUGGGCCUGGGUUCCUUCAGUAUGCAGGCUGUAAAUGUUUUACUUUGAUUUGAGAUACAUGACAAUAAAUUAGGGGACAUUUAUCAAAGCUGCUUUGUUGCAUUGCUGACAAAAGCUGCUUUUUGCAUAAAUUACUGCAUUAUACAAAUACACUUAGCAGGAUCCUGUUUCUUUGAUGUUAGUGGAGGAGAUUUAUGUCCAAUGGAGUUUUUAUUUAUCUGCCCUGUUCACCUCAACAAGGGCAGGACAUAUUCCUCAAUUAGUUCCAUACCCGUAGAAAUGACAUAUAUAUCUCACAAUUAGAAGCAGAGAAAUUUAAACAAAACAAAACAAAAAAAGCACAAGUGCACUUUUUCUGGCAAGUCUAAACUACUGUACAGUGUAAAAAGUAAAUAUUAGGCUGGAGCUGUGGCUUUGAAAUCUUUGUUCUUCAACUGCUUUGAAAGCUAUUUAAGUAAGCUAAUUUUGACAAAACAAUAUUCCCUUUGCAGAAAAGCUUUUCUAGACUUCAUUAAGAGACUAAGCAAAUACGAGUCCUUUUCAACAAAUACUUGAUAGCCGAAUAAGUAGGUUAAAAGAAUAGAUUCCCUGGGCAGUAAUCCUCUCUGGAACUGUAUUUAUGCUAAAAUCUCUUUCGAUGAAUAUCUAAUAAACUAAUGAAGGCCAUCUUAGGCUAAAUGGUGAAUUAGGAUGGUUAGAAAGGGACUUGUCAAAUGAAUAAAUUGGCUAAAGAGUUACACUGCUUAAAUGAAUACAGAAUCUCUUGAACACCAUUUCUGAGCACUAUUCUUCUGUCACUCACCAUCUCCAUACCUCAGCCUACACGUAAUUUAUUUUGUUCCUAGGUCAGCGGUUCAAAUGCAGCCCUAUGUGGCCACUUGGAGCUGUUGCUAUACAAUGGCCUGAAAUCAUUCUGGAGAACCCUUUUCUGUCUCAGAUCUAAAAAGAAAAAGAAACAAAAAUUAGAAAUAUACUAUUACCAUCCUCUUAAUAUAAAUAUAUAUAUAUGUAUUAUAAUAUAUAUGUGCGUGUAUAUAUAGUGUUUUUUGGUGUGUUUUUUAACCAACUCCAGCAUAUCACUGGGCAAGACCAUGCAGAGGAGAUGAUCUGCACUGGAGACUACUAGUUACAGCCCCAAAGUUGUCAGGACCUGUGUGAACUUUAAAGCUAUGCCAACGAGGUGAGAGUUGAUGCUGAGAGGGCUGAAUCAGCUCAUGCAGAUGGUUUGGAGCAUUGUCCUCUACAUCCUUGGACAAUCAUUCCCCAAAACUGGAGUGAAGCCCCUACAUCUCCAGAGCUCUCUACUGAAGCCAAAAAGCCUAUAAUUGGUUCCUCUCAUGUUUCACACUUUCUUUGCUGGCCUCUGCCAAGCACGUUUUUGAUCAAAAUAUUUCUGUCGGAAGGACUUCGAGCUCUUGUUCAUUCUUGUCUAUGAAGCUAUUGAAGGUUUUCAACUUACAAUAAAAGAAUUCUUUUCUGAAACAGUUAUAAGAUUUUAUUAGCAAACUCUUGUUUCGUUUGAAAUGCUCUUGUAUGUUAAUAAUUUCAACUUUUUAAUUGGAUCACACCCUUUUAAAAAAAAUUCUGGAAA